GGGAUCGCCCUUAGAGUUUGAUCCUGGCUCAGGACGAACGCUGGCGGCGUGCCUAAUACAUGCAAGUCGAGCGAACAGAAGGGAGCUUGCUCCCGGAUGUUAGCGGCGGACGGGUGAGUAACACGUGGGUAACCUGCCUGUAAGACUGGGAUAACUCCGGGAAACCGGAGCUAAUACCGGAUAGUUCCUUGAACCGCAUGGUUCAAGGAUGAAAGACGGUUUCGGCUGUCACUUACAGAUGGACCCGCGGCGCAUUAGCUAGUUGGUGGGGUAAUGGCUCACCAAGGCGACGAUGCGUAGCCGACCUGAGAGGGUGAUCGGCCACACUGGGACUGAGACACGGCCCAGACUCCUACGGGAGGCAGCAGUAGGGAAUCUUCCGCAAUGGACGAAAGUCUGACGGAGCAACGCCGCGUGAGUGAUGAAGGUUUUCGGAUCGUAAAGCUCUGUUGUUAGGGAAGAACAAGUGCGAGAGUAACUGCUCGCACCUUGACGGUACCUAACCAGAAAGCCACGGCUAACUACGUGCCAGCAGCCGCGGUAAUACGUAGGUGGCAAGCGUUGUCCGGAAUUAUUGGGCGUAAAGGGCUCGCAGGCGGUUUCUUAAGUCUGAUGUGAAAGCCCCCGGCUCAACCGGGGAGGGUCAUUGGAAACUGGGAAACUUGAGUGCAGAAGAGGAGAGUGGAAUUCCACGUGUAGCGGUGAAAUGCGUAGAGAUGUGGAGGAACACCAGUGGCGAAGGCGACUCUCUGGUCUGUAACUGACGCUGAGGAGCGAAAGCGUGGGGAGCGAACAGGAUUAGAUACCCUGGUAGUCCACGCCGUAAACGAUGAGUGCUAAGUGUUAGGGGGUUUCCGCCCCUUAGUGCUGCAGCUAACGCAUUAAGCACUCCGCCUGGGGAGUACGGUCGCAAGACUGAAACUCAAAGGAAUUGACGGGGGCCCGCACAAGCGGUGGAGCAUGUGGUUUAAUUCGAAGCAACGCGAAGAACCUUACCAGGUCUUGACAUCCUCUGACAACCCUAGAGAUAGGGCUUUCCCUUCGGGGACAGAGUGACAGGUGGUGCAUGGUUGUCGUCAGCUCGUGUCGUGAGAUGUUGGGUUAAGUCCCGCAACGAGCGCAACCCUUGAUCUUAGUUGCCAGCAUUCAGUUGGGCACUCUAAGGUGACUGCCGGUGACAAACCGGAGGAAGGUGGGGAUGACGUCAAAUCAUCAUGCCCCUUAUGACCUGGGCUACACACGUGCUACAAUGGACAGAACAAAGGGCUGCAAGACCGCAAGGUUUAGCCAAUCCCAUAAAUCUGUUCUCAGUUCGGAUCGCAGUCUGCAACUCGACUGCGUGAAGCUGGAAUCGCUAGUAAUCGCGGAUCAGCAUGCCGCGGUGAAUACGUUCCCGGGCCUUGUACACACCGCCCGUCACACCACGAGAGUUUGCAACACCCGAAGUCGGUGAGGUAACCUUUAUGGAGCCAGCCGCCGAAGGUGGGGCAGAUGAUUGGGGUGAAGUCGUAACAAGGUAGCCGUAAAGGGCGAUCC
rnacentral:rRNA from 1 species